UACGUAGGAGACGAGCGUUGUCCGGAAUUACUGGGCGUAAAGCGCGUGUAGGCGGAUGAGCAAGUCUGCUGUGAAAGCUCCUGGCUUAACCGGGAGUGGUCGGUGGAAACUGCUCGUCUGGAGGACGGUAGAGGUAGGUAGAAUUCCCGGUGUAGUGGUGAAAUGCGUAGAGAUCGGGAGGAAUACCUGUGGCGAAGGCGGCCUGACUGGGCCGGGACCUGACGCUGAGACGCGAAGGCGUGGGGAGCGAACGGG
rnacentral:rRNA from 1 species